CGCACGCGCGCUACACUGACCGGAUCCAGCGUGUGCUCUCCUUGGCCGACAGGUCCGGGAAACCCGUUGAACCCCGGUCGUGCUAGGGAUAGGGAAUUGCAAUUAUUUCCCUUGAACGAGGAAUUCCCAGUAAGCGCGAGUCAUUAGCUCGCGUUGAUUACGUCCCUGCCCUUUGUACACACCGCCCGUCGCUACUACCGAUUGAAUGGUUUAGUGAGGUCCUCCGAUUGGACCCGGUCCGGGCGGCGACGUCCGAGCCGGCGUCCGAGAAGACGAUCUAACUUGAUCAUUUAGAGGAAGUAAAAGUCGUAACAAGGUUUCCGUAGGUGAACCUGCGGAAGGAUCAUUA
rnacentral:ncRNA from 1 species